ensembl:snoRNA SNORA73 Small nucleolar RNA SNORA73 family
GCAUAUUUCUACUACUUCUCAGAGUCUUGGGGACUACGACUAAGGAGAUAAACCAUGC